rnacentral:rRNA from 1 species
AUUCCAGCUCCAAUAGCGUAUAUUAAAGUUGUUGCGGUUAAAAAGCUCGUAGUUGGAUUUCUGUCAAAGGUAAGGCGGUCCAUCUUAUGGAUGUGCAUCUGCCUAUGCCUUGGCAUCCUCAUGAAGAACGUUUUCGCGCUUCACUGCGUGUUUACGGUAUUCAUGACUUUUACUUUGAGGAAAUUAGAGUGUUCACGGCAGGCAAUCGCUUUGGAUACAUUAGCAUGGAAUAAUACUAUAGGACCUCGGUUCUAUUUUGUUGGUUUCUAGAGCUGAGGUAAUGAUUAAUAGGGAUAAUUGGGGGUCUUUGUAUUGCAACGUCAGAGGUGAAAUUCUUGGAUUGUUGCACGACAAACUACUGCGAAAGCAUUGACCAAGGAUGUUUUCAUCA